rnacentral:rRNA from 1 species
AUGAACGCUGGCGGCGUGCCUAAUACAUGCAAGUCGAGCGAACGGACGAGAAGCUUGCUUCUCUGAUGUUAGCGGCGGACGGGUGAGUAACACGUGGAUAACCUACCUAUAAGACUGGGAUAACUUCGGGAAACCGGAGCUAAUACCGGAUAAUAUUUUGAACCGCAUGGUUCAAAAGUGAAAGACGGUCUUGCUGUCACUUAUAGAUGGAUCCGCGCUGCAUUAGCUAGUUGGUAAGGUAACGGCUUACCAAGGCAACGAUGCAUAGCCGACCUGAGAGGGUAAUCGGCCACACUGGAACUGAGACACGGUCCAGACUCCUACGGGAAGCAGCAGUAGGGAAUCUUCCGCAAUGGGCGAAAGCCUGACGGAGCAACGCCGCGUGAGUGAUGAAGGUCUUCGGAUCGUAAAACUCUGUUAUUAGGGAAGAACAUAUGUGUAAGUAACUGUGCACAUCUUGACGGUACCUAAUCAGAAAGCCACGGCUAACUACGUG